rnacentral:rRNA from 1 species
UACGGAGGAUGCAAGCGUUAUCCGGAUUUAUUGGGCGUAAAGCGUCCGCAGGUGGUUGAGCAAGUCUGCUGUCAAAGCGCGGAGCUUAACUCCGUAAAGGCAGUGGAAACUGUUUAACUUGAGUACGGUAGGGGUAGCGGGAAUUCCCAGUGUAGCGGUGAAAUGCGUAGAUAUUGGGAAGAACACCAGCGGCGAAAGCGCGCUACUGGGCCUGUACUGACACUGAGGGACGAAAGCUAGGGGAGCGAAAGGGAUUAGAUACCCCUGUAGUCCUAGCUGUAAACGAUGGGUACUAGGUGUUGGCCGUAUCGACCCGGUCAGUGCCGUAGCUAACGCGUUAAGUACCCCGCCUGGGGAGUACGCACGCAAGUGUGAA